rnacentral:lncRNA from 1 species
UUUUCUUUUCUUUUCUUCUCCCAGCAGAACGGAGGCUGGCAAGCGAAAGCAAAAUGGCGCGCACGAUUAAUCCAUGUGUCGAAACAAAAGGAGCAGCCGUGGCGUGCCUUUCCAAAGCAAUUGAAACGGCGACCGCUCCGCUCGGAAGCCACCCCACGUCUCGUCUCCGGCCCGCCGCCGUCGCUCUCCCGCGAAAAUCGACCCGCAAGCAAACCCAGACCCGACAACCACCUCCUCCACACCUACCGCUAUAUAAACCGCGGUCGACACGCCAAGAGACUGCGGGCUUCACCGAUCACCAAUACGUGGUGCAGGUGCAGCAGAUUAACAAUUCAGCUCGUGCGUGCGUGCGUGCUCCAUGGUGAGAUCGCUUCCGUCUGUUUCAAUGGAGGGGAGGAGGCUGGAGGAGGAGGAGCAGCGGGAGGUGCUGCUCAUCCACAGCCAGGUGCGGAGGAUCAAGCGGGAGGACGAGGAGACCCGGAGGCACCUCCUGAAGCUGCAGCUGCUGGAGACGAGGCCGGCCGCCGGGCAAGGGCAGGAGGCCUCGCCGCCGGCCUCCCGCUCGCUGUCACCGCUCCGGCGCGCCGGGAGCGCCAUACCGGUCGGCGACUGGGCCUAGUCACCUCGCGUGGCCGGCCAGGCAGCGUAGACAUAUAGAUAUAGGAGAGCGAGCGAGCUAUAUAUGUGAGAGCCAUAGUACGAUCGAUGCCUGUCCAUGCUCUCUGGGUGCAUGGAACCAGAGCUUAGUUGAUCGAUCGAUCUAGCUGCUUUACUCUGUUUCAGUCGACUUUUCUUCUUCUGUUGUAAAUAUACCGAAGUUCACCUCGUGCUUCUACGUACUGCAUCCAAGUUCUUCCACGCUAGUUCCUUCAGAAUUGUUUCCAUUCUUCGUGAGACUCGGCAUGGAAAUCCGCAGAAAACACCGGCAAAUCGGGCAUGUCAUUGCCAGACCCGGAGGAUGCGCCUCGGGCAAGGCAACGGCCAGCGGAUGAGACGGGAGGCACAGAUCGACUCAGGAAGCCAACGUUGACUCGGAAGUAGCAUAGCAUAGGUCGCAUCCCGGCAUCCGCAUGUGUAUCUUCUCAGAAUGAAGACGAGAUCCGCAUCUGUCACGUAGGCUAGGCCAUUUUGUGCACGUGGUUGAACGCCGAAGCGUGGCUUUGACACGCAGGAGGAGCACCAGAACCGACAGCGGCGCUGCAGCAAUAAUUCAACUCAGUUUCCAUGGUUUUUUCCAACCAUUUUUCACGGAAAAUACUCAGAUUUUUCUUACUAGCCUGCGUUGCUGGCACGGCGUGCAGCCAGGAGAAGCAUCCAUCGGCCUCGCCUCCACGUCGCGGCAGCGAGCGGGCUGGCGUGUCCACGUCCAAGUCCAAGAUAAUAAUCGAGCGAGGCACUUGCACGGCGUCUGACGUCUGACGAUUCACCAUUAGUUAGGUUUUGCAUCGUCGUUCGGCGGUCGGAUCCGUCGCAGCCUCGCGGAAAGUAGGAUGCACGGCUGCGCCCGAUCCAACAAACCGGCCCCCCAGAUUGAGGACGGCGGGGGCCAUCCGCUGUCAACGUCCCACCGAACGAGCUGAGUGUAUUGCGUGACGGAUUGAGUGAACCUGGAACCGCUCCUUGGCGGCCGGUCACCGGCGACACGAAUCUCGCGGUGACGGCCAGGGGGCAGGGGAGAAGCGGCGGGGAUGUCCGAUCCAUCGACCGCGGUCAGCCGGGUCUUUCAUCCUGCUUCCAUUUUUUUAGGGUCAUCCUGCUUCCGAGGCCUUUUCUUAGGGUCUGUUUGGUAUAGGGGAAAUUCGCACGAACAUUUGACGAUUCGGUUUUUAUAGGAACUAGUAGAAUGCCCGUGCGUUGUCACAGUCUCUUGAAAAAGUUUACAAGAGUUACAUGUUAAAUUUCACAUGCACAAACAAUAUAACGUAAACACAAUUACUGAAUAAUUGAAGUCCAUUUUGCAACGAAAAUUGAUAACAAAAAGAAAAACUAACGACAUGUCCAUGUAAUAAACUGAGCGAUGUUUCAGCUAAACAUCUAUUACAAAAUUAUCAAUAUCUAGAUGAUGCGCUUAAGAAAUUCUUUAACAAUAUCAGAAAAAUUGUCUUUAGCUUCGUUCCCAUGGUGUCUUAGCAGGUAUAAUAAAAAUUGAUUCCUCAACUCAUACCCAUCCUGCACAAACAAUAUAUGUAGUUAGUAUGCAAAUUUCACGCCGAAGGUCUUAAAACAUGUAACGGACAAUACUCACCGCGCAAACCGGCUUGAUCAAUUCUGUACCGUUCCACCAGAGCAUAAAAUGAAAAACAAAAUAGCCAGACACAUUCCUGCAAUAUUUUAAAUUAAUAAUGUAAAGAAUAUAGUGAUAACAAAAAUAAAUUUUUAUUUUAUUAUGAAUUCAUUACCCGUCUAUACUCGUUGAAAUACCAAAUGGAAAUAAACGUUGCCAUUUAGAAAUGUCGGAAUUCCAAUCAGGCAGCUUUAUUUCGAGUGCUUCUUUGAAAUCCCUUGCAGAAGUUUUUAAUUUCAGUGCAUGCCUCAAAUUUUUACCCUCUGACGAUUGUGAUGUUUGAAUAGGGUCCAUAAUAUAUAUCCGACGUGCCUCUUUGUCGAUCACGUACAAGAUGUAUCGGGCGAUGGAUGCAUAUGGAAGAUAAAUCUACAAGUGAAGCUAUUAGAAACACCAAUAAACCAUGAUAACAAUAAACAAUAUACUUUACUUACCAUGUUGCACGAUGAGAUGUUGUUGUCCAUCCCAGGCCAACUAUUAAAUAAUGUUGCCAACGUCUGGAUAGUUUCCUUCUCGCAAAACUUCUGACCUCUUGUUGACUCUAGCAUCAUGGACUAAGUAAAAAACUAAAUAUUGCUUCAGUAUGUUAAUACUAAUGCCACAUAGAAUGCAGAGUUACGAUAACUUACACAAAAUCUUAGAUCCAUGUAGUGUAUAGGAGGGUCUGUGAACAAUACUCCCUCGUCACAUGCCAGUAUACGCACGGCGGUGUUGAAGUAAUCAUUGUCCAUAGCCUACUCGGUGAAUUUACGGUCCCUUUCAGCAACUUCGCAUCGGAACCCUCAAUGGAUUCUUUUUGUGCAUCUCCAAAGUCCAUAUCCAUAUCUCAUUCUGAAAAAAUAAUAAUAUACAAAAAAUAUACCUUUCGUAUUUUCAUGUAUAAUAUACAUACAGAUGAAGGUUAGCUAUAUGCACCUCUUCUCGUGGUGUUUCAGUGCGGUAUGUCAUCGUUACAUCACUGCAUAUAUCGGAACCCAUCACUCUGUAUCUACGAUGAAAUAUAUAUGAUGAAAUAUAAGUGAUACUUUCUACUGCAUAAUAUAAUCAUAUAUAAUAUCUGAAAAAAAUAAAAGUGAAACUAACACAACUAUUUUCUCUGUAAAAAACAUAUUUGACAUUAUUAGGAAAAUACGUUGAUUAAAUAAUUGUACUAACACAAAAUUCGGGGAAAACAACAAAUUGUAAUGUUCAUAUAUAAGUAAAUAGUCAUAUGAAAAUUAUUUAAAUUAUUUAUAUAGGCCAUGGAAAAUUGUCCAACUAAAGAAAAAAAACAUGCAAACAAACCUUCUUCAACCAAGUAUAUUUGUUUUUCCUCUCAAUUUUAUUGUGAUACCCUUAGUAUAUGAAAGGUAAGUAUAAAAAAUAUUUAUUUUUAUGAACCAUAUUUUAUAUAUAUAUAUACACACUUUUAUUGUUUCUGUGAGGUAUGUAUACUUUUAAUAUCUAUGUUUUUUAUCAUAAAUUCCUACACAUGCGAGUCUAGCAUUUCUAUCGUUGAGAAAAAUUUGCACACUAGGCCCAAAUUAGCUAUCCACCACGGCCCAAUCAGCACCCAAAUUUAGCCCCCUAAAAAAUAACUAUAAAAAAAUUACCUUAUUCACGGUAUAUUUUUUUGAGGGAUUACGGUAUACCUGGACAAAUGGGCCGGCACGACCCGGCCAGGAUUACACGGGCCAGGCACGACACUUCCCGGCCAGGCACGCAUGCUGGCCUCCCUGGCCCAGGCACGACAAAGAUGCCUCACGGGCCGGCUCGACGACCCACCUGGCACGCUGGCCUCUGGGCUCACUGGCCACCCCUCGCCUUUUCCCUCCCCUGCUGUAUCCCAACCCUAACCCCACUCACUCACCACUCUCCCCUCCACUCACUCACUUCCUCUCGCACUUUCCCCUCCCCCGCUGCAUCGCUGCGUGCCUCGACGAGCCGGUGCCCGCGAGACUCCGCCCGCCGACCGCCGGAUUGAAGGAAAUAUGCCCUAGAGGCAAUAAUAAAGUUGUUAUUUAUAUUUUCUUAUAUCAUGAUAAAUGUUUAUUAUUCAUGCUAGAAUUGUACUCCCUCCGUCCGGUGAAGUGUACAGCUAGAAAUUAUAGGACAAAUUAUGGAGUUGAGUAAAGAAUGCAUUGGAAAGGUGCAAGCUACCAUCUCUCUCUUCUUUAAUUACCCAACCCCCAAUGAGCUAAGUGCAUGUAGAAAUUAAGAAGACCAUGUGUAGAUUGCUAUUGGUCUUGAUUACCAUGUGAUGAGAGAGAAGUAUUUUUUUCCCACUUUAAAGUGCAUUGGGAAGAUAGAAGUACACUCUUUUGUGGACAAUUUUUGAAGCUAGAUGUACACUCUUCACCGGACGGAGGGAGUAUUAACCAGAAACUUAGUACAUGUGUGAAUACAUAGACAAACAGAGUGUCACUAGUAUGCCUCUACUUGACUAGCUCGUUAAUCGAAGAUGGUUAAGUUUCCUAGCCAUGGACAAAGAGUUGUCAUUUGAUAAGCGGGAUCACAUCAUUAGUGAAUGAUGUGAUUGACUUGACCCAUCCGUUAGCUUAGCACGAUGAUUGUUUAGUUUGUUGCUAUUGCUUUCUCAUAACUUAUACAUGUUCCUAUGACUAUGAGAUUAUGCAACUCCCGAAUACCGGAGGAACACUUAGUGUGCUAUCAAACGUCACAACGUAACUGGGUGAUUAUAAAGAUGCUCUACAGGUGUCUCCGAUGGUGUUUGUUGAGUUGGCAUAAAUCGAGAUUAUGAUUUGUCACUCCGAGUAUCGGAGAGGUAUCUCUGGGCCCUCUCGGUAAUGCACAUCACUAUAAGCCUUGCAAGCAUUUUGACUAAUGAGUUAGUUACGGGAUGUUGCAUUACGGAACGAGUAAAGAGACUUGCCGGUAACGAGAUUGAACUAGGUAUUAAGAUACCGACGAUCGAAUCUCGGGCAAAUAACAUACCGAUGACAAAGGGAACAACGUAUGUUGUUAUGCGGUUUGACCGAUAAAGAUCUUCGCAGAAUAUGUAGGAACCAAGGUGAGCAUCCAGGUUCCGCUAUUGGUUAUUGACCGGAGAUGAGUCUCGGUCAUGUCUACAUAGUUCUCGAACCCGUAGGGUCCGCACGCUUAACGUUCGGUGACGAUCGGUAUUAUGAGUUUAUGUGUUUUGAUGAACCGAAGGUUGUUCGGAGUCCCGGAUAUGAUCACGGGCAUGACGAGGAGUCUCGAAAUGGUCGAGACAUAAAUAUCGAUAUAUUGAAAGCCUAUGUUUGGACAUCGGAAUGGUUCGGUGAGUUUGGGCAUUUACCGGAGUACCGGGCGGUUACCGGAACCCCCCGGGGAGUACAUGGGCCUUAAUGGGCCUUAGUGGGAAAGAGGAGGAGGCGGCCUAGGAGGGGCGCCCCCCAAGCCCAAUCCGAAUUGGGAGGGGGGGCAGUCCCCCCUUUCCUUCCUCCCUCUCUCCUCCUUCCUUCCUCUCCUACUGCCACUUGGAAGAGGGGGAAUCCUACUCCCGGUGGGAGUAGGACUCCCCUAGGGCGCGCCAUAGAGAGGGCCGGCCCUCCCCCUCCUCCACUCCUUUAUAUACGAGGGAGGGGGCACCCCAUAGACACACAAGUUGAUCAUUGUCUUAGCCGUGUGCGGUGCCCCCCUCCACCAUAAUCCACCUCGGUCAUAUCGUCGUAGUGCUUAGGCGAAGCCCUACGUCGGUAGCUUCAUCAUCAUCGUCAUCACGCCGUCGUGCUGACGAAGCUCUCCCUCGACACUCAGCUGGAUCGAGAGUUCGUGGGACGUCACCGAGAUGAACGUGUGUAGAUCGCGGAGGUGUCGUACUUUUGGUACUAGGAUCGGUCGGACCGUGAAGAUGUACGACUACAUCAACCGCAUUGUCAUAACGCUUUCUUUUACGGUCUAUGAGGGUACGUGGACUACACUCUCCCCUCUUGUUGCUAUGCAUCACCAUGAUAGAUCUUGCGUGUGCGUAGGAAUCUUUUUGAAAUUACUGCGUUCCCAACAGUGGCAUCCGAGCCAGGUCUAUGCGUAGAUGUUAUAUGCACGAUUAGAACACAAAGAGUUAUGGGCGAUAAUAGUCAUACUGCUUACCAGCAUGUCAUACUUUGAUUCGGUGGUAUUGUUGGAUGAAGCGGCUCAGACCGACAUUACGCGUACGCUUACGCGAGACUGGUUCUACCGACAUGCUUCGCACACAGGUGGCUAGUGGGUGUCAGUUUCUCCAACUUUAGUUGAAUCGAGUGUGACUACGCCCGGUCCUUGUUGAAGGUUAAAACAGCACACUUGACAAAAAAUUGUUGUGGUUUUUGAUGCGUAGGUAAGAACGGUUCUUGCUCAGCCCGUAGCAGCCACGUAAAACUUGCAACAACAAAGUAGAGGACGUCUGACUUGUUUUUGCAGGGCAUGUUGUGAUGUGAUAUGCUCAAGACAUGAUGCUAAAUUUUAUUGUAUGAGAUGAUCAUGUUUUGUAACAGAGUUAUCUACAACUGGCAGGAGCCAUAUGGUUGUCGCUUUAUUGUAUGAAAUGCAAUCGCCAUGUAAUUGCUUUACUUUAUCACUAAGCGGUAGCGAUAGUCGUAGUAGCAAUAGUUGGCGAGACGACAACGAUGCUUCGAUUGAGAUCAAGGUGUCAAGCCGGUGACGAUGAGGAUCAUGACGGUGCUUUGGAGAUGGAGAUCAAAGGCACAAGAUGAUGAUGGCCAUAUCAUAUCACUUAUAUUGAUUGCAUGUUAUGUUUAUCCUUUAUGCAUCUUAUUUUGCUUAGUUCGGCGGUAGCAUUAUAAGAUGAUCCCUCAAGGUACAAGUGUUCUCCCUGAGUAUGCACCGUUGCUACAGUUCAUCAUGCCGAGACACCACGUGAUGAUCGGGUGUGAUAAGCUCUACGUUCACAUACAACGGGUGCAAGCCAGUUUUGCACAUGCAGAAUACUCGGGUUAAACUUGACGAGCCUAGCAUAUGCAGAUAUGGCCUCGGAACACUGAGACCGAAAGGUCGAGCGUGAAUUAUAUAGUAGAUAUGAUCAACAUAGUGAUGUUCACCAUUGAAAACUACUCCAUCUCACGUGAUGAUCGGACAUGGUUUAGUUGAUAUGGAUCACGUGAUCACUUAGAUGAUUAGAGAGAUGUCUAUCUAAGUGGGAGUUCUUAAGUAAUAUGAUUAAUUGAACUUUAAUUUAUCAUGAACUUACUACCUGAUAGUAUUUUGCAUGUCUAUGUUGUUGUAGAUAAAUGGCCCGUGUUGUUAUUCCGUUGAAUUUUAAUGUGUUCCUAGAGAAAGCUAAGUUGAAAGAUGAUGGUAGCAAUUACACGGACUGGGUCUGUAACUUGAGGAUUAUCCUCAUUGAUGCACAGAAGAAUUACGUCCUGGAAGCACCGCUAGGUGACAAACCCACUACAGGAGCAACGCCAGAUGUUAUGAAUGUCUGACAGAGCAAAGCUGAUGACUACUCGAUAGUUCAGUGUGCCAUGCUUUACGGCUUAGAACCGGGACAUCAACGAUGUUUUGAACGUCGUGGAGCAUAUGAGAUGUUCCAGGAGUUGAAGUUAAUAUUUCAAGCAAAUGCCCAGAUUGAGAGAUAUGAAGUCGCCAAUAAGUUCUACAACUGCAAAAUGGAGGAGAAUAGUUCUAUCAGUGAACAUAUACUCAGAAUGUCUGGGUACCACAACCACUAGACUCAUCUGGGAGUUAAUCAUCCUAAUGAUAGUGUCAUUGACAGAGUUCUUCAAUCACUACCACCAAGCUACAAGAGCUUCGUGAUGAACUAUAAUAUACAAGGGAUGGAUAAGACAAUUUUCGAGCUCUUCGCAAUGCUAAAGGCUGCGGAGGUAGAAAUCAAGAAGGAGCAUCAAGUGUUGAUGGUCCACAAGACCACCAGUUUCAAGAAAAAGGGUAAAGGGAAGAAGGGGAACUUCAAGAAGAACAGCAAGCAAGUUGCUGCUCAAGUAAACAAGCCCAAGUCCGGACCUAAGCUUGAGACUGAGUGCUUGUACUACAAAGGGACUGGUCACUGGAAGCGGAACUGCCCCAAUUAUUUGGCGGAGAAGAAGGAUGGCAAAGUGAAAGGUAUAUUUGAUAUACAUGUCAUUGAUGUGUACCUUACUAAUGCUCGCAGUAGCGCCUUGGUAUCUGAUACUGGUUCUGUUGCUAAUAUUUGCAACUUGAAACAGGGGCUACAGAUUAAGCGAAGAUUGGCUAAGAACAAGGUGACGAUGCGCGUGGGAAAUGGUUCCAAAGUCGAUGUGAUCACCGUCGGCACGCUACCUCUACAUCUACCUUCGGGAUUAGUUUUAGACCUAAAUAAUUGUUAUUUGAUGCCAGCGUUGAGCAUGAACAUUAUAUCUGGAUCUUGUUUGAUGCGAGACGGUUAUUCAUUUAAAUAAGAGAAUAAUUGUUGUUCUAUUUAUAUGAGUAAUAUCUUUUAUGGUCAUGCACCCUUGAUGAGUGGUCUAUUUUUACUAAAUCUUGAUAGUAGUGAUACACAUGUUCAUAGUAUUGAAGCCAAAAGAUAUAAGUUUAAUAAUGAUAGCGCAACUUAUUUGUGGCACUGCCGUUUAGGUCAUAUUGGUGUAAAGCGCAUGAAGAAACUCCAUGCCGAUGGGCUUUUGGAAUCACUUGAUGCUUGUGAACCAUGCCUCAUGGGCAAGAUGACUAAGACUCCGUUCUCCGGAACAAUGGAGCGAGCAACAGAUUUGUUGGAUAUAAUAGAUACUGAUGUAUGCGGUCCGAUGAGUGUUGAUGCUCGCGGCGGGUACCGUUAUUUUCUUACUUUCACAGAUGAUUUGAGUAGAUAUGGGUAUAUCUACUUGAUGAAACAUAAGUUUGAAACAUUUGAAAAGUUUAAAGAAUUUCAGAAUGAAGUGGAAAAUCAUCGUAACAACAAAAUAAAGUUUCUAUGAUCUGAUCGUGGAGGAGAAUAUUUGAGUUACGAGUUUGGUCUUCAUUUGAAACAAUGCGGAAUAGUUUCGCAACUCACGCCACCUGAAACACCACAACCUAAUGGUGUGUCCGAACGUCGUAAUCGUACUUUACUUGAUAUGGCGCGAUCUAUGAUGUCUGUCACUGAUUUACCGCUAUCAUUUUGGGGUUAUGCUUUAGAGACGGUUGCAUUCACGUUAAAUAGGGCACCAUCUAAAUCCGUUGAGACGACACCUUAUGAACUGUGGUUUGGCAAGAAACUCAAGUUGUCGUUUCUUGAAGUUUGGGGCUGCGAUGCUUAUGUAAAAAAGUUUCAACCUGAUAAGCUCGAACCCAAAUCGGAGAAAUGUGUCUUCAUAGGAUACCCAAAGGAGACUAUUGGGUACACCUUCUAUCACAGAUCCAAAGGCAAGAUAUUAGUUGCUAAAAAUGGAUCCUUUCUAGAGAAGGAGUUUCUCUCGAAAGAAGUGAGUGGGAGGAAAGUAGAACUUGAUGAGGUAAUUGUACCUACUCCCAAAUUGGAAAGUAGUUCAUCACAGAAAUCAGUUCCAGUGAUUCCUACACCAAUUAGUGAGGAAGCUAAUGAUGAUGAUCAUGAAACUUCAGAUCAAGUUACUGCUGAACCUCGUAGGUCAACCAGAGUAAGAUCCGCACCAGAGUGGUACGGUAAUCCUGUUCUGGAAGUCAUGUUACUUGACCAUGACGAACCUACGAACUAUGAGGAAGCGAUGAUGAGCCCAGAUUCCGCAAAAUGGCUUGAGGCCAUGAAAUCUGAGAUGGGAUCCAUGUAUGAGAACAAAGUAUGGACUUUGGUUGACUUGCCCGAUGAUUGGCAAGCCAUAGAAAAUAAAUGGAUCUUCAAGAAAAAGACUGACGCUGACGGUAAUGCUACUGUCUACAAAGCUCGACUUGUUGCAAAAGGUUUUCGACAAGUUCAAGGAGUUGACUACGAUGAGACCUUCUCACCCGUAGCAAUGCUUAAGUCCGUCCGAAUCAUGUUAGCAAUUGCCGCAUUUUAUGAUUAUGAAAUUUGGCAAAUGGAUGUCAAAACUGCAUUCCUUAAUGGAUAUCUUAAAGAAGAGUUGUAUAUGAUGCAACCAGAAGGUUUUGUCAAUCCAAAAGGUGCUAACAAAGUGUGCAAGCUCCAGCGAUCCAUUUAUGGACUGGUGCAAGCCUCUCGGAGUUGGAAUAUACGUUUUGAUAAUGUGAUCAAAGCAUAUGGAUUUAUAUAGACUUUUGGAUAAACCUGUAUUUACAAGAAAGUGAGUAGGAGCUCUGUAGCAUUUCUGAUAUUAUAUAUGGAUGACAUAUUAUUGAUCGGAAAUGAUACCGAAUUUCUGAAUAGCAUAAAAGGAUACUUGAAUAAGAAUUUUUUCCUCGGUGAAGCUGCUUAUAUAUUGGGCAUCAAGAUCUAUAGAGAUAGAUCAAGAUGCUUAAUUGGACUUUCACAAAGCACAUAGCUUGACAAAGUUUUGAAGAAGUUCAAAAUGGAUCAAGCAAAGAAACGGUUCUUGCCCGUGUUACGUCGAUGCAAGCUUUGACACUGAUCCAGAAGACUCUAAGUCACAAACCGGAUACGUAUUUUUAUUGAAUGGUGGAGCUGUCAGUUGGUGCAGUUCCAAGCAGAGCGUCGUGGCGGGAUCUACGUGUGAAGCGGAGUACAUAGCUGCUUCGGAAGCAGCGAAUGAAGGAGUCUGGAUGAAGGAGUUCAUAUCCGAUCUAGGUGUCAUACCUAGUGCAUCGGGUCCAAUAAAAAUCUUUUGUGACAAUACUGGUGCAAUUGCCUUGGCAAAGGAAUCCAGAUUUCACAAGAGAACCAAGCACAUCAAUAGACGCUUCAAUUCCAUCCGCGAUCAAGUCAAGAAGGAAGACACAGAGAUUUGCAAGAUACAUACGGAUCUGAAUGUUGCAGACCCAUUGACUAAGCCUCUCUCACGAGCAAAACAUGAUCAACACGAAGACUCCAUGGAUAUUAGAAUCAUUACAAUAUAAUCUAGAUUAUUAACUCUAGUGCAAGUGGGAGACUGAAGGAAAUAUGCCCUACAGGCAAUAAUAAAGUUGUUAUUUAUAUUUCCUUAUAUCAUGAUACAUGUUUAUUAUUCAUGCUAGAAUUGUAUUAACCGGAAAUUUAGUACAUGUGUGAAUACAUAGACAAACAGAGUGUCACUAGUAUGCCUCUACUUGACUAGCUAGUUAAUCAAAGAUGGUUAAGUUUCCUAGCCAUGGACAAAGAGUUGUCAUUUGAUAAGCGGGAUCACAUCAUUAGUGAAUGAUGUGAUUGACUUGAACCAUCCGUUAGCUUAGCACGAUGAUCGUUUAGUUUGUUGCUAUUGCUUUCUUCAUAACUUAUACAUGUUCCUAUGACUAUGAGAUUAUGCAACUCCCGAAUACCGGAGGAACACUUAGUGUGCUAUCAAACAUCACAACGUAACUGGGUGAUUAUAAAGAUGCUCUACAGGUGUCUCCGAUGGUGUUUGUUGAGUUGGCAUAAAUCGAGAUUGGGAUUUGUCACUCCGAGUAUCUGAGAGGUAUCUCUGGGCCCUCUCGGUGAUGCACAUCACUAUAAGCCUUGCAAGCAUUUUGACUAAUUAGUUAGUUACGGGAUGUUGCAUUACGGAACGAGUAAAGAGACUUGCCGGUAACGAGAUUGAACUAGGUAUUAAGAUACCGACGAUCGAAUCUCGGGCAAGUAACAUUUAUGCGGUUUGAUCGAUAAAGAUCUUCGUAGAAUAUGUAGGAACCAACAUGAGCAUCCAGGUUCCGCUAUUGGUUAUUGACCAGAGAUGAGUCUCGGUCAUGCCUACAUAGUUCUCGAACCCGUAGGGUCCGCACGCUUAACGUUCGGUGACGAUCCGUAUUAUGAGUUUAUGUGUUUUGAUGAACCGAAGGUUGUUCGGAGUCCCGGAUAUGAUCACGGGCAUGACGAGGAGUCUCGAAAUGGUCGAGACAAAAAGAUGGAUAUAUUGAAAGCCUAUGUUUGGACAUCAGAAUGGUUCCGGGUGAGUUCGGACAUUUACAGGAGUACCGGGGGGUUACCGGAACCCCCGGGGAGUACAUGGGCCUUAAUGGGCCUUAGUGGGAGAGAGGAGGAGGCGGCCUAGGAGGGUGCACCCCCAAGCCCAAUCCAAAUUGGGAGGGGGGCCAGUCCCCCCUUUCCUUCCUCCCUCUCUCCUCCUUCCUUCCUCUCCUACUGCCACUUGGAAGAGGGGGAAUCCUACUCCCGGUGGGAGUAGGACUCCCCUAGGGCGCGCCAUAGAGAGGGCCGGCCCUCUCCCUCCUCCACUCCUUUAUAUACGGGGGAGGGGGCACCCCAUAGAUACACAAGUUGAUCAUUGUCUUAGCCGUGUGCGGUGCCCCCCUCCACCAUAAUCUACCUCGGUCAUAUCGUCGUAGUGCUUAGGCGAAGCCCUGCGCCGGUAUCUUCAUCAUCAUCGUCAUCACGCCGUCGUGCUGACGAAGCUCUCCCUCGACACUCAGCUGGAUCGAUAGUUCGUGGGACGUCACCGAGAUGAACGUGUGUAGAUCGCGGAGGUGCCAUACUUUCGGUACUAGGAUCGGUCGGACCGUGAAGACGUACGACUACAUCAACCGCGUUGUUAUAACGCUUCCGUUUACGGUCUAUGAGGGUACGUGGACUACACUCUCCCCUCUUAUUGCUAUGCAUCACCAUGAUAGAUCUUGGUAGGAAUUUUUUUGAAAUUACCGCGUUCCCCAACACGAAUCUGUCCCAUGCCGCGGCAGAUCUUGGGGCUCACUCACCGGUCCUCUCCACUCACCCGCCACCUCUCGCCCUCUCCCCUCCCCUGCCGCAUCGCCGCGCGAGUCGCCGAGCCCGCAAACGCGGGACUCCGCCCGCCGACCACCGCAUCAGUCCCAUGCCGCGGCCGGUCUUAUGGCUCAUUCACCUCUCUUCUCCACUCACUCCAACAUCUCGGUCAUCUCCCCUCCCCCGCCGCAUCGCCGCGCGCGUCGACUGUGCGACUCUGCCCACCAACCACCGCAGCGGCGUGGCUAGGGGCUCCGACGAGCUGUGUGCGGCGCGACCAACGGGGACGGACGCAGUGAGCUUACUGACAUAGGCGCGGGUGCUCGGUCCGGUCCCAUUCCGCUCGCAUCCGCAGCGGUGUUUGUCUCCGGCGAGGUGGCAGGUGGAUCCAAAGCGCGGCGGCUCGAUCUGCAUCGCCAGCAGCUCCGGUACGCCGCUCCCCCUUCUUGACCCACCCCCUCUCCUCCUCUUCUAAUUUAACUUGAUCCGCCCCUCUCCUCCUCUUUUUCUCCCUUUAAUUUCCUGCCUGAUCUGGUUUCCUCUUCCCUGAUGAGCUGCAGCGCCAUGAACCGGCCUCACAGCCACGGCCAGGAGCGACGAUUGCUCCCCAACUCUGCGGCAUGGUGUGCGCUGACCGUUCGUCCCCAAGUCCCCAACGCUGCCACCGGCCGGAGACACGACGGUUCUCUCGUCCGGCUCAAAGCACGCGCCGUUGUGGCCCGCCUCCCGCUGCAGCAGCUGGCAAAGAAAGCGGAACGCCCCUGCGCCGGCGACAUCGGCAUCUCCAUCGACCGUCUCAGCAACUGCUACCUUGACAGGUGAUGGUAAGCCUGAGCUAGCUGGGUUAUCUGAUUCAACAUGCAUGGUCAAUAUUUAUUUAAAUGGUUGACCCAUGAAUAUGUACAUACAAUCAGACGUACAUACCAUGCAUGUUAAGAUGAAACAUAAAACAAUCUUACUUGAUAUACUAGGGGGACGCAGAUCAAUUUUCCUCUGAUGAUCAUCUCGUGUGGGUUCGUUUAUCUGCCCCAGCUUGUGUUCUGAUCCGGUAUUGUUGCAUUGUACCACCAGUUCCUUUCAUGUAUUUUUCUUAGUCUGAUAAGACGUAUGCAUCCCGUCGCUUAAAGCAUCACAACCUAAAAUUAACAGAUCAACAAACGUGCCAUACGCUAUACACCAACAUGAACACCCGUAUGCAUAAAUUAUGUCAUAUGAAAAUGCGGAUUGGUCUGUACCAUAUGAAUCUUCCGGUACAUAAUCCAGUGUUACAUUACUCGGAGCCGACAAGGGAGCAUCAUGAUGGUCUCCUGCCCGUAGCAAUCUUGAUCCAUCUGUAAAGUUGUAACCAAUAGGAAUACAACACCAAUGAAAAACCGUUGAGCAAGUAUGGAGGUAACAUUCUCAGCAUGAUUCACACAGCCUUAUACUUGGAUGCGUUGUGUAACUGUCGUCAACAUUUUCAGCUACGGGUGUGAUGCUUGCAUAACAUUCUUCAACAUUUGUCGCACCGUCAGUAAUGGACAACUCGCAUGCGCCGAAAUUUCAGAUAGUGUGAAUUAUACAUGUAGGUAAGUCCUCGUCUGGUUGAUGUUCGCUUGCCUUGCUUUUUGAAUUCCCCAUAAGCACAUAUGUAACGGCAGCUCCCUGUGAAGAAGAUAACAUUGCUUGAUGUGAAUGGUUAUCAUAUAUUAAUUGCCUUACUUCAAGUUUUACCUUGUGCAAAAAGAUUUAGCAGCAUGUUCUUUAUAGUUCUUUGUUUUUCAUUUAUACAAAUCACCUCAGGUUAUGUUUAUUCAGGUUAUCUUUGCAAAUCACUUAGAUCACAUUGAUACAACAUCUAGGAAAUCAAUAUUGCAAACUUUGCACAUUAAGGAGUAAUCUAUAGUCAGGUUACUAUAACAAAUACUUCACAUACUAUAUGUUUUCCAAUAAAUCUGCUUGAGCUAAUUUGCUGUUUGGUUUUGUAUAUUGUGCUUGAAAUGCUUGCUUGCAGUUUUGAUCUGGCACUGAUCUUAUUAUCAGGGCCUUCAUGAUUUCCUUCUUGGAAUUGCUUGCUUCUAAUUUCUUUGAAAGAUACCAUGAUGCAAUUUUGUUUUUCUAUCUUGUGUAUUCUGCUGCUGAUUCCUGCUGAUUCUUUCUUGCAGUAUGGGUUAUUGUGUGACCGGUUACAGUGUGAUAACAAAUUUUGUAUUUGUGAUUUGUCCCCUCCCCAAGGAAGCUUCUAUAUAAAAGAUCUCAAAAUGCAGGAGCCUAAGAAAAUGCUACAUAAAAGAUGUCAACUUCUAUAUCAGCUAUCUAAAAGAUAUCACCUGUGCCUGAAAUUAUUAUCAGCUUCUUCAUCAAGUAUCAAUUAAUUGCAGCUGGGCUUAACCAUUGUUUUUUAUUUUCUUUGUCGACAGAGAGGCAAGUUCGAGAUUCAAUUGGAUGGACCUUCAUGUUGUUUAUUGAGUUUCUCAUCAGCCAUGGUCUUUCUUAAGUGAUUAUAAUGUCGAAGUAGUACAUUGCAAACAUGUGUAUAAACUGUAUAAUAACAAAACGCGAACCUGGACGCGUUUGGUUGCUGAUCCUGGAAGCGGUCGGCAGCGGGUCCUGUAGGCGGUACACGGCGGAACCUUGAAGUGAUCGGCGGCUGAAUGUGCUAGCGGUUCGCGUUUGAUUAGCACACCCGCCCUACGCGCGCCAUGUUCCACCUAACUAUUUUUUGAGGGGUUACCCUAUUUNNNNNNNNNNNNNNNNNNNNNNNNNNNNNNNNNNNNNNNNNNNNNNNNNNNNNNNNNNNNNNNNNNNNNNNNNNNNNNNNNNNNNNNNNNNNNNNNNNNNNNNNNNNNNNNNNNNNNNNNNNNNNNNNNNNNNNNNNNNNNNNNNNNNNNNNNNNNNNNNNNNNNNNNNNNNNNNNNNNNNNNNNNNNNNNNNNNNNNNNNNNNNNNNNNNNNNNNNNNNNNNNNNNNNNNNNNNNNNNNNNNNNNNNNNNNNNNNNNNUCAUUUCGGCCGGCCCAUCUUGCUCGUUUCCCCUUUUUUCAGGUUCUAGAACCUCCCCAAACCAAUUUUUUUUUGUGUGUGGUGUUCUUUCCGUUUUUUUUCUUUUUUCGUAUCUCUUUUAGUUUUCUUUUUUAUUUCCCUUUUAAUUUCAUUUUCGUUUUUUGAUUCAUUGUUUUUACCAAAUUUACAACCAUUUUUUAAAAUUUGAACAACUUUUAAAAUCAGUGAUUUUUUGGCAAUUUUUUCAUGGAAUUCAAAAUUUUCAUUGAAAUAAAAAAUAUAUUUUAUUCAAAAACUGCAUAAAUUAUACACAAAUGUACGUAAAAUAAUAAUAAAUGGUCGUCAAAUUCAAAAUAUGUUCUCCAAAGAAAAAUUAGUUCAUAAAAAAAUGUUUUCGUCCAAAAAAAUGUUCAUCAUAUUCAAAUAUUUAUAAAGUUAAAGAAAUGUUCAGAGACUUCAAAAAUGUCUUUGAACUCAAAAUUUGUUCACGAAAUUCAGAAAAAAUACAUUAAAUUUAAUUUUGUUCAUACCGAAAUAUUCAUCAAUAUUCAAACAAUGUUCAUAAAAAUCAUUAAAAUACAAAUUUUUCAUCAAAUUUAUGAAAAUGUUCAUUUUUUAGAAAUUGGAAGAGUAUUCUGAAUUCGUGAACAUUGUUUUAAAUUUGUGAAUAGUUUUUCAUUAGUGAACAGUUUUUUGCAAUUCAAAACUUGUGGGCUGCAUGCUCGCUUCUUUCCCAACGUGCAGGUCGCUAUAUAGGAGCCCCCCCGCGCAAUAGGGAUUAUUGUAUUGGAUGCCCCUAUGAAGAUUCUAUACGCCUGCCAGCCUGCGUGCUACAACAUCCAAAAUAGAGGGAUCUCCGUUUGGAUAGGGCGUGUGAAUGAGAAUGUUGAUGGGCCAGGCACUGUGUGGCCUAUUAAUGUAUAUGUUUUUGGUUUGACAAAAUUAACCUAAAAAUAUGUAAUAAUUUUUUAUAUUAUUGUCUUUUUAGUAAGAAGGAAACUAUAUAUAUAAUUAGAAAUUAAUGUACCUAUAAACAAAUGUUCAUAUAUACAAAAAAAUCAUCUUAUAUUUCAUGAAAGUUUACUAUAAAUUACAACAUAAAAUUUAAUUGAAAAUUCGACGCAAUUAAUUUAAAAAAUGCAAAUGUGCGUUAGAAUAUAUAUUCGCAUAAAUUUUAAAAAAUGUACCUAUUUUAUCUACAAAUUAUAAUUUGACAAAAGUCAGAAAAAAAUUGUAGUGAAUAAAACAGGAAGAAGAACACAAAAGAGAAAAGGAAAAACAGUAAUAACAGAAAGCACAAAAAGGAAAUAAAAACAUAAAGGGGAAGAAGAAGGAAAAAAUGUGUCGCACCUACCGGGUGGCAUAUAGGAAUUCUGAUGAAUCCAAGCAAACCUUUGUGUUGCGUAAGGUUCCUCUCCCUAAUGGCAGCUCACCAUAUAGGAAUUGGGGAAUUGCAUACAAUCUCAGAUAUGUAAUUUGAAUCUGGAAGUGAGAGAGAGAGAGAGAGAGAGAGAGAGAGAGAGAGAGAGAGAGAGAGAGAGAGAGGAAAACAUGAGAGUAGGUGAGUUUACACCCUAAAAAUUCGACAACCCUCGAGCACAUGCCUCACGCACUUUACGUGAAUCGAGUAACUGGACGGGGGAAUCAUAUACGCACCCCCUUCCGCGCUUGGCGUUCUCAUGGGCUGGCCCAAUUUUCAAUUUUUUCUUUUUUCCUUUCCUUUUCUGUUUUUCUUUUUCUUCCCUUUUUUUAUCUUUACUUUUUCACCCUUUUUGCGAAUUUUAUUUUCAAAUUCCCNNNNNNNNNNNNNNNNNNNNNNNNNNNNNNNNNNNNNNNNNNNNNNNNNNNNNNNNNNNNNNNNNNNNNNNNNNNNNNNNNNNNNNNNNNNNNNNNNNNNNNNNNNNNNNNNNNNNNNNNNNNNNNNNNNNNNNNNNNNNNNNNNNNNNNNNNNNNNNNNNNNNNNNNNNNNNNNNNNNNNNNNNNNNNNNNNNNNNNNNNNNNNNNNNNNNNNNNNNNNNNNNNNNNNNNNNNNNNNNNNNNNNNNNNNNNNNNNNNNNNNNNNNNNNNNNNNNNNNNNNNNNNNNNNNNNNNNNNNNNNNNNNACCUAAAUGUUUUUCAUUAAAUUCCAAUUUGUUUAUCAUUUUAAUUUUUCAUCAAAUUCAAAAAAUAACAUUGAAUUCAAAAUUUGUUCAUUCAUUUUUUUAAACAGUUCUUGAAUACAAAUUUUGUUCAUCAAGUUAAAAAAUGUUCACUAAAUUCAAAAUCUGUUCUUCAAGUUUUAAAAUUGUUUAUCAUUAGUAAAUAAUGCUCAUAAUUUUUUUCAUAUAUAUAAAGAAAUGUUCAUUCAAAUUCGAAAAAUGUUUAUUUUUGUAAAUCAUAGACAUUUUUUAAUUCGAGAACUGUUUUUGACAAUUCAAAACUCAUAAAAUUUUGAAAUAUUAGAACCUUUUUGUAAUCCCGAAUUAUUUUAACAUAUAAUAAAACAAAAACAGAAAAUAAAAACAAAAACUAAAAACGAACAAAAAAACAGGGAGCGUUCGUCCCCGCACAUGGGCCGGCCCAACAGGGAGCGCAUGGGGCUGGGGGUGCGCGCUUCCCCAACUGCGAGAGCAACUAAUUGACAAGCGCUCCUUCUGGAGCCUCGCAACUAUCACUUGCGGGUGGGCUAAGAGCGCGCAGACGCCACCACGUGUUGCGCUCUAGGCGCUCCCUCCGGAUUUUUUUAUUUUUCCGCAUGCGUUUUUGGCUUUUAAACGGUUUUUUGUUUCUGGUUUUUUUCGACCUUUUGGGUUUUCAAUGGUCUUCCUUAGCUUUUGGACCAAAAAAGAUUUCAAAUUCUUUUUUGCGCGAAAAAUGCGUUUUUUUACACAUAAAUAUAGUAUCUGGGGGUACAAGCACAAUGAGCACACAUCCGACCUCUGCAUAUUUAGGAUGAACAUAGCAACACAAAUGCACACAGGUAAAACAUCAUAUCGACAAAGCACAAAGUCAUAUAAGAAUGAAACUAUGCCUAGGCGGAGAGAGAGAAAAGAAAAGAAAAAAGAGCAAUCAAAAUAGUGAUCGACGGUAUACAACAACGACCAUCCACACCAACCAUUUCUUGACAACACAAGGACUACGAGAAAUGUUCUCCAAAAGGAACAACCUCAUGAAGUGAACGACACGCAAGCGCCGCUGCCGCUGGAUCCAACAACGGGUAGAUCAUGUGCUUUCACCCUGAAUGAGUCUGAGUGAAUUCCAAGCAACAUCUUCAACAAGUAAUGACGUAAAAACGAGACCAUUGUACCAACUAGGGUUAGACCUAGGGUUUUCACUAUAGAUCUCAAGACAAGGUGCUAUGCACACAGUCAUGACAUGAUAUGCCAUGCGACAGAUGACCAUUGCCCGCAUGAGUAGAUAGUGGAGUCGUGACAAGUGUCGCUUGCCACGACAUGAUGUAUGAUACGUCCAUUUUGCGUCAUGCUUUUAAAUCGAUAUUAACUGCAUUAUGGACUGUUAUUACACAUUAUGUCACAAUACUUAUGCCUAUUCUCUCUUAUUUUACAAGGUUUACAUAAAGAGGGAGAAUGCCGGCAGCUGGAAUUCUGGGCUGGAAAAGGAGCAAUUAUUAGAGACCUAUUCUGCACAACUCCAAAAGUCCUGAAACUCCACGAAAGUUAUUUUUGGAAAUAAUAAAAAAUAGUGAGCGAAGAAAAUACCAGAGGGGACCCACACCCUGGCCACGAGGGUGGGGGGCGCGCCCCCUGCCUCGUGGGCCCCUUGGUGGCCCUCCGGUGCCCAUCUUCUGCUAUAUGAAGUCUUUCGUCCGAGAAAAAAUCAUAAGAAAGCUUUCGGGAAGAGACUCCGCCGCCACGAGGCGGAACCUUGGCGGAACCAAUCUAGGGCUCCAGCGAAGCUGUUCUGCGGGGGAAACUUCCCUCCGGGAGGGGGAGAUCAUCGCCAUCGUCAUCACCAACGCUCCUCUCAUCGGGAGGGGGCCAAUCUCCAUCAACAUCUUCACCAGCACUAUCUCCUCUCAAACCCUAGUUCAUCUCUUGUAUCCAAUUCUUGUCUCUAAGUCUGAGAUUGGUACCUGUAGGUUGCUAGUAGUGUUGAUUACUCCUUGUAGUUGAUGCUAGUUGGUUUAUUUGGUGGAAGAUCAUAUGUUCAGAUCCAUUAUGCAUAUUAAUACUCCUCUGAUUAUGAACAUGAAUAUGCUUUGUGAGUAGUUACGUUUGUUCCUGAGGACAUGGGAGAAGUCUUGCUAUUAGUAGCCAUGUGAAUUUGGUAUUCGUUCGAUAUUUUGAUGAGAUGUAUGUUGUCUCUCCUCUAGUGGUGUCAUGUGAACGUCGACUACAUGACACUUCACCAUUAUUUGGGCCUAGAUGAAGGCAUUGGGAAGUAAUAAGUAGAUGACGGGUUGCUAGAGUGACAGAAGAUUAAACCCUAGUUUAUGCGUUGCUUCAUAAGGGGCUGAUUUGGAUCCAUAUGUUUCAUGCUAUGGUUAGGUUUACCUUAAUACUUCUUUUGUAGUUGCGGAUGCUUACAAUAGGAGUUAAUCAUAAGUGGGAUGCUUGUCCAAUUAAGGGCAGCACCCAAGCACCGGUCCACCUACAUAUCAAAUUAUCAAAGUACCGAACGCGAAUCAUAUGAACGUGAUGAAAACUAGCUUGACGAUAAUUCCCAUGUGUCCUCGGGAGCGUUUUCCUUCAUAUAAGAAAUUGUCCAGGCUUGUCCUUUGCUACAAAAAGGAUUGGGCCAUCUUGCUGCACUUUAUUUAUACUUGUUACUUGUUACCCGUUACAAUUUAUCUUAUCACAGAACUAUCUGUUACCGACAAUUUCAGUGCUUGCAGAGAAUACCUUACUGAAAACCGCUUAUCAUUUCCUUCUGCUCCUCGUUGGGUUUGACACUCUUACUUAUCGAAAGGACUAUGAUAGAUCCCCUAUACUUGUGGGUCAUCAAGAAUCUUUUCUGGCGCCGUUGCCGGGGAGUGAAGCGCCUUUGGUAGGUGGAAUUUGGUAAGGAAAUAUUUAUAUAGUGUGCUGAAAUUUACUGUCACUUGUUACUAUGGAAAGCAAUCCUUUGAGGGGCUUGUUCGGGGUAUCUUCACCCCGACCAGUAGAGCAAAUAGUUGCUCCUCAACCUACUGAACCUACUGAAAAUGUUUACUUUGAAAUUCCUUUGGGUAUGAUAGAGAAACUGCUAGCUAAUCCUUUUGCAGGAGAUGGAACAUUGCAUCCCGAUUUACACUUAAUCUAUGUGGAUGAAUUAUGUGGAUUAUUUAAGCUUGCAGAUAUGCCCGAUGAUGUUAUCAAGAAGAAGGUCUUUCCUUUAUCUUUGAAGGGAGAUGCAUUGACAUGGUAUAGGCUAUGUGAUGAUAUGGAAUCAUGGGACUACAAGCGAUUGAAAUUGGAAUUUCAUCAGAAGUUUUAUCCUAUGCAUCUUGUUCAUUGUGAUCGUAAUUAUAUAUAUAAUUUUUGGCCUCGCGAAGGAGAAAGCAUCGCUCAAGCUUGGGGGAGGCUUAAGUCAAUGUUAUAUUCAUGCCCCAAUCAUGAGCUCUCAAGAGAGAUGAUUAUUCAAAAAAAUUAUGCUCGGCUUUCUGACAACAAUCACUCCAUGCUCGAUACUUCUUGUAAUGGUUCCUUUAUGAUGAAGACUAUUGAAUUCAAAUGGAAUUUAUUGGAAAGAAUUAAACGCAACUCUGAAGAUUGGGAUCUCGACGAAGGUAAGGAGUCAGGUAUAACACCUACGUUUGAUUGUGUUAAAUCUUUUAUGGAUACCGAUGUUUUCCGUAAAUUUAGCACUAAAUAUGGACUUGACUCUGAGAUAGUAGCUUCUUUCUGUGAAUCCUUUGCUACUCAUGUUGAUCUCCCUAAGGAGAAGUGGUUUAAAUAUAAUCCUCCCGUUGAAGUAAAAGUAGUUGCACCUAUUAAAGUUGAAGAAAAGAUUGUCACUUAUAAUGAUCCUGUUGUUCCUACUGCUUAUGUUGAGAAACCACCUUUCCCUGUUAGGUUAAAAGAUCAUGCUAAAGAUUCAACUGUAUCAACAAAAGUAAUAUUAGGACACACAAACCUCCUGAGCAAGUUAAAGUUGAACCUAAUAUUGCAUGUUAUUUACUUCUGUGAUGAGACCGCUAGAAUUUCUAAACCUGGUGCCAAAGAUAAACAUAGACCUGUUGUAGGCAUGCCGGUUAUUUCUGUUAAAAUAGGAGAUCAUUGUUAUCAUGGCUUGUGUGAUAUGGGUGCUAGUGCUAGUGCAAUACGUAUUUCCUUAUAUCAAGAAAUUAUGCAUGGUAUUGCACCCGCUGAGUUAGAAGAAAUUGAUGUUACCAUUAAGCUUGCUAAUAGAGAUACUAUUUCACCAAUUGGGAUUGUUAGAGAUGUUGAAGUCUUGUGUGGGAAAGCUAAAUACCCUGCUGAUUUUCUUGUUCUUGGUUCCCCACAAGAUAGCUUUUGUCCCAUCAUAUUUGGUAGACCCUUCUUGAACACUGUUAAUGCUAGGAUAGACUGCAAAAAGGACGUUGUUACUAUUGGUUUGGAUGAUAUGUCUCAUGAGUUUAAUUUCUCUAAAUUUCAUAGACAACCUCGUGAUGAGGAAUUGCCUAGUAAAGAUGAAAUUAUUGGUCUUGCUUCUAUUGCCGCACCCCCUAAUGAUCCUUUAGAAUAAUAUUUGCUAGACCAUGAGAAUGAUAUGUUUAUGAAUGAAAGAAGGGAAAUAGAUGAAGUAUUCUUUAAACAGGGACCUAUUCUGAAACACAACUUGCCUAUUGAAAUCCUAGGGGAUCCUCCUCCACCCAAGGGUGAUCCCGUGUUUGAGCUUAAACCAUUACCUGAUACUCUUAAAUAUGCUUAUCUUGAUGAAAAGAAGAUAUAUCCUGUUAUUAUUAGUGCUAACCUUUCAGAGCAUGAAGAACGGAAAUUAUUGAAAACUCCGAAGAAACACCGUGCUGCUAUUGGAUAUACUCUCGAUGAUCUUAAGGGCAUUAGUCCCACUCUAUGCCAACACAAAAUAAAUUUGGAGAAAGAUGCCAAACCAGUUAUUGAUCACCAACGACGACUAAAUCCGAAGAUGAAGGAAGUGGUAAGAAAGGAAAUACUAAAGCUCCUUGAGGCAGGUAUAAUUUAUCUUGUUGCUGAUAGUCAGUGGGUAAGUCCUGUCCAUUUUGUCCCUAAGAAGGGAGGUAUUACUGUCGUUCCUAAUGAUAAAGAUGAAUUGAUUCCACAAAGAAUUAUUACAGGUUAUAGGAUGGUAAUUGAUUUCCGCAAAUUAAAUAAAGCUACUAAAAAAGAUCAUUACCCUUUGCCUUUCAUUGAUCAAAUGCUAGAAAGACUAUCCAAACAUACACAUUUUUGCUUUCUAGAUGGUUACUCUGGCUUCUCUCAAAUACCUGUGUCAGCUGAUGAUCAAGCAAAGACCACUUUUACUUGCCCUUUCGGUACCUUUGCUUAUAGACGUAUGCCUUUUGGUUUAUGUAAUGCACCUGCUACCUUUCAAAGAUGUAUGAUGGCUAUAUUCUCAGAUUCUUGUGAAAAGAUUUGUGAGGUUUUCAUGGACGACUUCUCUGUUU